CUACCAUCACUGCAGAGUUGCUUCCUGUCCUGCCUGCUGCUGGCCUGUCUUCAAACUAGUAAGCUACUGCAUCAGACGUUCUUUGUGGGGCAAGAAGAAGAUGGAAGAGGAGGCAGCGCCGCCAGCAUGGAGUCCCAUGGGAGAGGCACAGGGAGGCACAUUAAGGACGUUUUGAUAAAGUACCAGGAACCCACCCACUUGUGUCUGGAGAUUGGGUGGUAGUAAAAGACACGCUAGGAAAGUCCUAAAACCCUGGUUUGAUGGUCCAUUCCGAGUGUUGUUGACCACAAGCACAGUGAAGCUCAAAGGAAAGCAUAAUUGGAUUGAUUUCAAGGAAGUGUUGAGACUGGU